rnacentral:ncRNA from 1 species
CUGACCGAUACGCAGGGUCGACGUUCGUGCAACGAGCCCGCUCCCGCUGCUUCCCUCAAAGAGUAGAAGGAUGCGUUAUUGUCAG